GACGAACGCUGGCGGCGUGCUUAACACAUGCAAGUCGAACGGAAAGGCCCUGCUUUUGUGGGGUGCUCGAGUGGCGAACGGGUGAGUAACACGUGAGUAACCUGCCCUUGACUUUGGGAUAACUUCAGGAAACUGGGGCUAAUACCGGAUAGGAGCUCCUGCUGCAUGGUGGGGGUUGGAAAGUUUCGGCGGAUGGGGAUGGACGCGCGGCUUAUCAGCUUGUUGGUGGGGUAGUGGCUUACCAAGGCUUUGACGGGUAGCCGGCCUGAGAGGGUGACCGGCCACAUUGGGACUGAGAUACGGCCCAGACUCCUACGGGAGGCAGAAGUGGGGAAUAUUGCACAAUGGGCGGAAGCCUGAUGCAGCAACGCCGCGUGCGGGAUGACGGCCUUCGGGUUGUAAACCGCUUUCGCCUGUGACGAAGCGUGAGUGACGGUAAUGGGUAAAGAAGCACCGGCUAACUACGUG
rnacentral:rRNA from 1 species